GACGAACCGUGCGAACGUUAUUCGGAAUCAUUGGGCUUAAAGCGCGUGUAGGCGGGUUCGUGCGUCUAUCGCUGAAAUCCCCCGGCUCAACCGGGGAAGUGGCGUGGAUACGACGAGUCUGGAGGGGCAUAGGGGGACCUGGAACUUCCGGUGGAGCGGUGAAAUGCGUUGAGAUCGGAAGGAACGCCCGUGGCGAAAGCGAGGUCCUGGAUGCUUACUGACGCUGAGACGCGAAAGCCAGGGGAGCGAACGGG
rnacentral:rRNA from 1 species